GACGAACGCUGGCGGCGUGCUUAACACAUGCAAGUCGAACGGAAAGGCCCCUUUGGGGGUCCUCGAGUGGCGAACGGGUGAGUAACACGUGAGUAACCUGCCCUUGACUUCGGGAUAACUUCAGGAAACUGGGGCUAAUACCGGAUAGGAAUCCUUGCUGCAUGGUGGGGGUUGGAAAGCUUCGGCGGUUUUGGAUGGACUCGCGGCUUAUCAGCUUGUUGGUGGGGUAGUGGCUUACCAAGGCUUUGACGGGUAGCCGGCCUGAGAGGGCGACCGGCCACAUUGGGACUGAGAUACGGCCCAGACUCCUACGGGAGGCAGCAGUGGGGAAUAUUGCACAAUGGGCGGAAGUCUGAUGCAGCAACGCCGCGUGCGGGAUGACGGCCUUCGGGUUGUAAACCGCUUUCAGCAGGGGCGAAGCUUGUGGUGACGGUACCUGCAGAAGAAGCACCGGCUAACUACGU
rnacentral:rRNA from 1 species